GACGAACGCUGGCGGCGUGCUUAACACAUGCAAGUCGAACGAAAAGGCCCUGAUUUUGUGGCGUGCUCGAGAGGCGAACGGGUGAGUAACACGUGAGUAACCUGUCCUUGACUUUGGGAUAACUUCUGGAAACUGGGGCGCAUACCGGAUAGGAGCUCCUGCUCCAUGGUGGGGGUUGGAAAGUUUCGGCGGUUGGGUAUGGACUCGCGGCGUAUCAGCGUGUUGGGGGGGUAGUGGCUUACCAAGGCUUUGACGGGUAGCCGGCCUGAGAGGGUGACAGGCCACAUUGGGUCUGAGAUACGGCACAGACUCCUACGGUAGGCAACAGUGCGGAAGCUUGCACAAUGGGCGGAAGCCUGAUGCAGCAACGCCGCGUGCCGGAUGACGGCCUUCGGGUUGUAAACCAAAUUCGCCUGUGACGAAGCGUGAGUGACGGUAAUGGAUAAGAAAGCCCCGGCUAACUACGUG
rnacentral:rRNA from 1 species